rnacentral:rRNA from 1 species
GAUGAACGCUGGCGGCGUGCCUAAUACAUGCAAGUCGAGCGAACAGACGAGGAGCUUGCUCCUCUGACGUUAGCGGCGGACGGGUGAGUAACACGUGGAUAACCUACCUAUAAGACUGGGAUAACUUCGGGAAACCGGAGCUAAUACCGGAUAAUAUAUUGAACCGCAUGGUUCAAUAGUGAAAGACGGUUUUGCUGUCACUUAUAGAUGGAUCCGCGCCGCAUUAGCUAGUUGGUAAGGUAACGGCUUACCAAGGCAACGAUGCGUAGCCGACCUGAGAGGGGGAUCGGCCAACCUGGAACUGAGACCCGGUCCAGCCCCCUGAGGGAGGCAGCAGUGGGGAAUCUUCCGAAAUGGGCGAAAGCCUGACGGCGCAACCCCGCGUGAGUGAAGAAGGUUUUCGGACUGUAAAACUUUUUUAUUAGGGAAAAACAAAUGUUAAAGUAACUAUCCACCUUUUGGCGGUACCAAUUCAAAAAGCCCCGGCUAACUACGU